rnacentral:lncRNA from 1 species
UGCAAAGCUCCAUAACCUUGCCUUGGAUACUGGUGUAAUUCCCCAAGCCUAUCCAGUGAAUGCUGCUGUAAUUAAUUCUUUAAUCCAUGUCUGAGACCUAACCUUUUUACUUACUAGGUCUCAUUGUAUUAGACUGAUAACCAAAACCUAUAACGCUAUAAUGCUGUAAUUUUAAGACAUUAGAAAUAAUUUUCUGCUGGAAUAUUUAGUUUCUGUGUAUUUACAUGACCUUUCUUUCUUCUUCUUCUUUUUUUUUUUC